CUCCCACCUUGAUGAUAAUGGACUGAAGCUCUGAACCUGACUGUUUUACUGAAGCUUUGGAUAUAUUCUUGACUUGUAAGCUAGUUAGACUGCUGCAGGUGCUCAGCAAACAGCUUGAUGGGCUGAGUUCUGCUGGGCAUCCCUACGUAAAUGCUUCCCUUCAAAACCACUGGAAGUGCAUAAUUUGCCUGCCCAUUUUCAACUCCUAUUUACUUGGGGCGACUGAGAGUCCCGUUUCCUCCAAAGAGGCUGGUGUGGGUGGGACAACUGUCCAGCAAGAGGAGUCAACGCCUCCAUGACAGCUCUGAUCAAUGUUUCACUUACCCUGGGCUUCAGCAAAGAUUGGCAAGCACCUUCAGUCCUUCAGCACAGACAGCAUGUUUUGGGGGAUGAGAAUAGAGAAGCUGGCUUUCACAGAAAAAUGGACAUAAAGGAGAAACAAAAAAGCUGGUCUGGCUGAUGUAGAGUUGGGGAGAUAGCAACUCGUGAUUAUCCUUGAAAUAAAAUAAUCAUAGGAAUAAUAAAGUAAAAAAGCAAAUUCACCUGUCACUGAUCGGCAAUGCCAGUCUGCCACCAGGCUGGGGAGAGAGCAUUCCUGCUGACAGCCCGCAGCCCCACUGACACUCUUCCAGAUGAAGGAGCCAUAGAGCAGAAGUGCGAAGAGCCUGUUUCAGACACAGAUCAGAUGUGAGCUCUCAGCUACCUCUCCAGCACAUACCUCCUGCCUACCUCCAUGUUUCCCACCAUGACGAUCAUGGGCUAAUCCUCUGAAGAUGUAAGCAAGCACCCAUUAAACAUUUCUUCUAUAAGUGA